GAUGAACGCUGGCGGCGUGCCUAAUACAUGCAAGUCGAGCGAACAGACGAGGAGCUUGCUCCUCUGACGUUAGCGGCGGACGGGUGAGUAACACGUGGAUAACCUACCUAUAAGACUGGGAUAACUUCGGGAAACCGGAGCUAAUACCGGAUAAUAUAUUGAACCGCAUGGUUCAAUAGUGAAAGACGGUUUUGCUGUCACUUAUAGAUGGAUCCGCGCCGCAUUAGCUAGUUGGUAAGGUAACGGCCUACCAAGGCAACGAUGCGUAGCCGACCUGAGAGGGUGAUCGGCCACACUGGAACUGGAACACCGUCCAAGCUCCUACGGGAGGCAGCAGUAGGGAAUCUUCCGCAAUGGGCGAAAACCUGACCGAGCAACGCCGCGUGAGUGAUGAAAGUCUUCGGAUCGUAAAACUCUGUUAUUAGGGAAGAACAAAUGUGUAAGUAACUAUGCACGUCUUGACGGUACCUAAUCAGAAAGCCACGGCUAACUACGUG
rnacentral:rRNA from 1 species